UUGAAUGUCCGACAGUGCUGCGCUCUUUCAUUUUUUAACCGGGCUAUUCUUACCGUAUUUUAAUUGUUUUUAACCAAAUCACUAACAAGAUUAGUUACGCCUUGACUUGAUAAACAAAUUUUAGUAAAAAAUUAAGUUUUUAGUGCCAAAAUAGAGGUAAAAAACCCGAAAUUUGAAUGGGCAAAUUGUGACUCACGAGUCGAUUGCGUAAUGGCCGCGGCACGAUGUGUUCGGAAGGCGGCGUGUAGCAUCAUCAUGGCUUUUGAUGGCAUGUGCCGUGCAAUAAAAUGGAAUCGUAAACGCAGAGGUGAUUAAGCAGGAUUGUAGUUCUAGUUCAGUGAUUGAAGUUCUACUAGGCUACUAUUGAAAUCUCUUUUUUGCACCAAACCGACCACUGUCCGAAUAAUUCUCCAAUUCAUAACCGUGAAAGGCAGGUGACAGUUUGUGCACCAAGUAUUAAGGACCAGAAGCCGUUUUAACCCACCGAGGCCUGUCUAUUUCACGAUACACACUGAAUUCCGGCACUCCGCCUUUAAUGUUUGUGAUGGCCAUUACUCAUAUCGAUGUCGCCAAAUUCAGGAUUGAAAAGGAACCAAUUCGUACAAGCAGUCCUGACCCAAACCCAUUCUCCGAAGAACCACUAGCAACUCCAUCUGCAAGCCAAUAGUCCAACCUCGCAGUGCCCUUUUACAAUACAGAAACCGAUAUUCGCCCACUCAGCAAUACUCCGCAACGUUCAAUAAGAGAACAUCUAGCCAUCUCGCCUUUUACCAAAGGAUCAAAAAAGGAUAGAACCAUAAUCAGGGCAAGAUGAUUCAGUUUAUGUAAGGACCCAUUAGCAAUCAAUACGAUGGGAGUUUUACGGCCAAUAAGGAACCGUUCCAGAACGAAAACGGCUUGUAGAAUGAGGCACAAACGUUUCUACUUACGAUAAGGUUACGGAAUAACUUUCGGUUAUGUUGUUUAUAUGCCAUAAGACCGACGUUUCUUUUACCUUUGCUUCUCUUAUACCUUUGGGAAACCACUUUUUUUAAUAAAAAUGUUGCAGAAGGUUAAAGUAGUGGCUUUAUGAAAUUUUUAUGAUGGCUGCGGUUGCGUUCAGUUGAAUUAUGCUUGGAUUCAUUUAUUUUAUUAAGUAGAUAAGUUUUAUGGGUGUUUAGCCAAUAUAUCAAUACUUAAAAAAGAGAUAGUUAAAAAUAAGCUUAUAUUAGAUAUAAUAUUUCAGCAAAAUUAGAACUGAACAAAUCUGCUUAUUUUCUUAAUUUAGACUUUAAAGCAUAACUUAAUAGGAUAUAAAUAACAUUUGCCUUUAAUUUUACUCAAGAGGUAAACCGGAUUGUUAUUUUUAUGUUAUAUUAUAAUAUUUUAA